UAUUAUUUUUAUUGUAAAUUUAAAAGUUAAAGUAUUAGUAGUUAUGAUCUUGAAACUUAAAGAAUUUGGCGGUAUUAUAGUCUAUUUAGAGGAAUCUGUUAUGUAAUUGAUAAUCCACAAUGAACCUUACUUAUAUUAUUUUUUUUGUAUAUCGCUGUUUAAGAAAAUAUUUUUAAAUAAUUUUCUAAUUAUUAUAUUAAAUAAUAUUUCAAGUCAAGGUGCAGUAAUAUAUAAGUUGAAUAAUGGAUUACAAUAAAUUGUAUUUAUUAUGGAUUAUUAUUGAAAUAUAAUUWGAAGGUGGAUUUAAWUGWAAUUUUAUAAAGAAACUUUAAARUUUAAUUUU
rnacentral:rRNA from 1 species